rnacentral:rRNA from 1 species
CGGUGGUUCUGCGUGGAAGGGCCAUCGCUCAACGGAUAAAAGCUACCCUGGGGAUAACAGGCUUAUCUCCCCCAAGAGUCCACAUCGACGGGGAGGUUUGGCACCUCGAUGUCGGCUCAUCACAUCCUGGGGCUGUAGUAGGUCCCAAGGGUUGGGCUGUUCGCCCAUUAAAGUGGUACGCGAGCUGGGUUCAGAACGUCGUGAGACAGUUCGGUCCCUAUCCGUCGCAGGCGUAGGAAAUUUGAGAAGACCUGUCCUUAGUACGAGAGGACCGGGAUGGACGUACCUCUGGUGUACCAGUUGUCCUGCCAAGGGCAUGGCUGGGUAGCUAUGUACGGAAUGGAUAAGCGCUGAAAGCAUCUAAGCGCGAAGCCAACUUCAAGAUAAGAUUUCCCACCGCAAGGGUAAGACCCCAGAAAGACUAUCUGGUUGAUAGGUCGAAGGUGUAAGUGCAGCAAUGUAUUUAGCUUAUCGAUACUAAUAGGUCGAGGACUUGACCAAU